CCUGUCUCGGGAAAAAAAAAAGAAAAGAAAAGAAAAGAGAGAAAGAAAGAAAGGAGAGAGGAUAAAGAGUGAAAGAUGAAGCUUGGCCAUCAGACUUCUCAGAAGUACUGAGUUCAAAGAGCAUUUCAGCUGAGACAUCCAUAACCAAGAGCAGAGGGACUAGAGACUGCUUCUGGAAGCUCGGUGAACAGAGGACCAGGACCCUCCCCUGCCUGCCGCUGGCGCUCAGUUCUCCUGCCCCCUGACUACAGUCCCUUAUUUCCCUGUUUACCCUGCUCCCUGCCCCUCCCCUCAGUUUGCUGGCUGUCUCUCACCCUUUGCUACCCCACUUCACUUCCUUCCCCCCUAGCAGAGCAUUAAUGUAUAGAUUUCACACCCGUCCUAUUUCUCAGCUACGGCUUCGUGUGUUAUUAAUAGCACCAAUAGAUGAGUUGUGCUCUCAGCCUUCCCCCUCCCCCUAAGAAGAUCCCGGCAUAUGUAAUUGUUUUACUUCAUGGCUUUUAAUUGAUUUUUCUUCCCAGGGAUCCUCAGCCUUGCAUAGAAAAGCUCCUUGUUCUCUGAACCAGGGGAACUGGGCAGCACCCUGAGCAGGUCCUCGCCUGGCCAUCACCUGUACUGCCUGCAUCCUCUCCCCUGUCCACUGCACCAGCCUGAAACCUAGGGACAAGCCUUUGUCCCCUGUGUGGAGAACUCUCAUUAAGUCCCUCCUUCUUCCCUUAAGACUGGACCUGAGUUCCCUUUUUUCAAAUACAUCUUUUGGGGUGCAGACGCCGGCAGAAUGACACUUUCCUGGGUCUCCUCGGGCCGCGGAUUCUGGAAUCCCGGAACUGGAUUCUGUCCAAUGUGCUGAGCUUUAGGGGCUGAAGCAAGGCGUCGACUGCCUUGGUGUAUUUUCUGGAGCACACACACACUCAUGGUUUCCUGAGCCAUUCCUAACUAGGGCAUGAUGCCCUGUAUUCCUGCCUUCCCCGGCUCCCUCCUCGCUGCCAGGCACAGUUCCCUAGGAUAGUCCCUUCUCUCACUGGAACAAUCAGAAAACACCUUCUCCACCAGCACUGGGCAGCCCCAGCCUCCCAGUCCCAGUUCCUCAAAAUAUCCUUGAGCUUGCUAGGUACUUUCUUCGGGCUCUAGUCUGCUGCACAGAGCAGCCCUGUUAUUGAUAGUGACAGCCUGGGAUGAGAGUGUGCCCAGCUACCAGCAGCAUACGGAUGCUGAGCCAGGUGCACGGCUACCGUAGGAGCCCGUCUUCUCAACCGCGCCUCAGGAACCAGCUUGCAUAGGAGCAGGCCCUGCUUGCCACUUCCUGCUUUAAACGGAGCCUGUAAUACUGAGGUUGCUUUAAGAGAACAAGCCCUCUGUGUUCAACCACAUUGCUGCUUGGCUUUGAAAGGCUCUGCAAACGGCAGGAUCCCGUCCAGGAAGUCCUCAGCAGGGCGGGUCCUGGCUUACCAGGAAGUCCUCAGCAGGGCGGGUCCUGGCUUACUGAUGUCACUGUCCCGAUGGAUGGCAGAUUUACGGACUCAAAUUGUGGGCAAAGGCUCAGCUCUGCCUCCUCUGGGACUAGAAGUUCAGUUCUCUACUAGUUGUGAAAGCGGUCAGGGCUGCUUUGGAGUGGGCUGGCUGUCCAGGAAGCUGAUACGGAGGCCAGCUCUGGAGAAGUCAAUGAGGCAGAUAUGGCAGGCUGUGACCAGGUAGUUCUCCUUGUUGGCUCUCUCAUGUCUGUCUUUAAAUUGACCAACCAUAAAGUUUGUAGUAAAGAUGGGGAGCCAACUGGGACAAAGAACAGAUGGUGAAAAGGAAAUUGACACAGGCAAAAAAACCAGCUCAGCAGCCCGGGCUUGCGGGGCUUGGGGGGCUUGGGGAAUUUCCGGACUUUCCCAUCUGCCUGCGACCAGAAAUGUAGCAGAAGACCCAGGCUGGGGCAGGAGGCUUAGUCAGGCUUUCUGAACACUGGGCCACGGUAAGGAAAAGGCUCGGUCGGUUGGCUUCCCAGGGCCUCUAUCCCUCAGCUGACAAGUUCUCGGCUUCCUUCCCUGUUAGGGGAACCUUUUCUUUUCAUUGUGUAAAGGUAUGUCUCCGUGUUUUUCGGUUGUUAUUUCUGUACCUAUAGACAGCCAAGUGCCGGCAGGAUCCUGGUAUUGUCAUUUCAAUGGCCCACCACUGGAUUUUCUACUUUAUAAAUAUUCGUCCUUCCUCAUCGGCCUAAGGCAAUCUAGAGUUGCAUCACUCACUGCUGCUGAUCAGUUGUAAGAAGGAGCAGGAAGGAGGAGGGUGGGGAAGAAGGCAGAAGCGGGCGAAUCCAGAGCGGACAUGGAGGGAACCCACACUGACCGCAGCAGAGCAGAGGAAGGAAUAGAGCUAGCCGCGUGCCGGGGCAUCACCUUAGGUUCACUGGUAACUGAAGAGUGUCCUAGGGGCUGGCGUGAUGGCUCAGCGGGUAAGAGCACUGACUGCUCUUCUGAAGGUCCUGAGUUCAAAUCCCAGCAACCAUAUGGUGGCUCACAACCACCCAUUAUUGAGAUCUGACACCCUCUUCUGGUGCAUCUGAAGACAGCUACAGUGUACGAAUAUAUAAUAAUAAAUAAAUCUUUAAAAAAAAAAAAAGAAGAAGAGUGUCCUAGCUAAAGACCCACGCUUUAAACAGUUAUUUAUGCCACUGGCAGGUCGCAGAAAGUUCUGCUCUUCUUCCCCAUCUGCCCCCUCAGCGCUUCUUAGGUUGUUAGCUGGAAAGAAAGGAUAGGGACUGACCUCAGCCUCCAGUGGCAGGUGAGCACGGAGGAGUUUGGCUGGGCCUUGACCCUGUCAUUAUGGUGGCAAAGACUUGGGAUGCCAGUAGCGUACCUCAGUUCUAGUUCAAAAGUCUCAGAGCCAGAAAAGCCCUGGUAUAACUCAGCCCUGGGAACUCAGGACUACUGGGGCAUUCAAGUCCUGGCAAUACAAGGAAGACCUGUCUCUGAGUGCUGAGGGCAGGGCUGCCCUGGAGACAGAGACACACCCAGAACAGAACUCCACCAACUUUCUAGGGAUUCCUAAUCCAGUCAAGCCCAUACUGACAGGGCUCCAUGCAUGGCUUUGGGCAAUUGACCUAAAGUCUGAGUCCCAGCAAGUAGGCAGUUCUGGUUGUCAAGGGGAGUGUGAUAAUACAUUUCUAGGAAGCACAGGGGUGUAAGAAGAGGUCUGGCUGUCAACAGGAGACCUAAAUUCACUGGUCUCUAGUGUUCAAUCCACUGCCCUUGGGUUUGGACUUUAUGAUGUCCAUGAAAAUACCCCAGAACACUCUAACCUGUAUGUUUUCUGCUUGUUUCUAUGUGGGCUUUACCUGUAACUUGCAGUAGGAGCCCCCAGAUGUUCAUGGACCUGGAUUGGGGACAAAGCUCACCAGCCUGCUUCUGUAAGGAUCCUCUGCACCAAAGGACAGGGCCACUUAUAAUCUGUGUCUUGCCAGAGCCUGGUAUAGCUCGGAAGUAAUAGCUAAAGUCCAGUCUCUCAUUGCACAGAAUAAAAAGCCAAAUUUAAGCCAUUCAGAAUCUGUCAAUGUAUUGGGUCACGGUUUUCCUAGCCUUGACAGUGCAUAAGGAACCCAGGGUGUAUGCAUAUGCAUGCAGAUGUCAGAGGAGGUCAGAAGAGGGCAGCACAUCCCCUGAGUCUAGAGUUAAAAGUGCUUAUCAGCUGCUAACCAUACAUAGGUGCCAGGAGCCAAGCUAGGCGCAGGAGAAACAGUCCCAGAUGUGGCGCGGCGGGGAGACCAGUUCAGCUGUGGCCUCAUAGAACAAUAGGCCAGGUCACUUCCCCCAAGACUUCCCCAGCCCCGAGAACAGCAGUCUAAGAGAGCGCACCACUGCAGUGCACAGGUACACACACUGCACGGGAGCCCACAGAAGUGGGAAGUGGGAGAGGUUGCAGCUGGCUGGCUGGGGCCCAGCUACAAGGACCGGCAUGUUGCUUUCCAAAGAGCAUUUCCAGGGUCCCUUCAUGGAAAGAGCCUCUGUGGACAGCAAGAUAAUGGAGGGUGUAGACCACAGAAGGAAGCUACCUGAUUAAGGAUGAUAAGGGGUGAAGCAGGAGUUGCUUUCAUGUGGGAGGGACAGAAGCCCACUGGAGGAGGGGACACAGUGCAAAUAUUGCUAAGUGAACCUAGUAGCCUAGUAGGACAGCCCCAGUUCAGUAGGACAACCCCUGGAGCACCUAACCAUGGUAGAGACCUGCAAAACCAGGAAGUGGGUGGCAGGCCUCUUCUACCUACUGCAUGGUUCAUGGGAGAGCACGGCAGAGCUAGCUUCCUGAAGCAGUCCUGAGCAGGGCCUCUUGCUUCUCCCUGCCUGCUUGGGUGGGAAAGGUUGCAUGUACAUGAAGAGAUGGGUCAAUAAGGCUGCCUUGGGCCUAAAGACAAAGGCACAGUAAGAACUGAGCCCUGGCAACCUGGCUUGGGUACCAAAAUGGGAUGCAGAAAGCUUUGGUGUUCCAUGGAGGGUGGGUGAAAGGCAUUGUAGGUCCCCUAAACCUGGCCAUGAGAUAACGUCCCAGUGGCUUCCCCCAGUACCCUGGGAGGAAGGCAGAUCGGAACAGAACUGAUUAACAGCUGUCUGGAAGGAAACCAAAGGGGGCUCUGAUGGCCCUCAGCACCUCGUCUGCUCUCCCCACCCCAAUGCUACCCAGAGAAGGAGAGAGAAGAAGCUGCCCAUUGGAGGAAGCCCCUGAAGGAGGCCCUUCCCUGGCCUCGGGGCCUGGAACAACAGGGGAAAAUCAGAUCAAUGAAGGUUUGAUUGAUGACCACAGGAUGGAGAAGCCAGAGGGGACCACACAGUGCCCAGACACUCCCAGGGGAAGGUGUUCACCUCCAGUCUGUUUUUCUGUUGUCAGGGGCACACUCAGGUGUUUUCUGCUUUGCAGAUAUUGUCUGCCCCUGGCCUUAAAAAAUAAAAAAAUAUGUGUAUUUAUUAUUUUUA
rnacentral:lncRNA from 1 species